rnacentral:rRNA from 1 species
UACGGGGGGGGCAAGCGUUGUUCGGAAUUACUGGGCGUAAAGGGCUCGUAGGCGGCCAACUAAGUCAGACGUGAAAUCCCUCGGGCUUAACCGGGGAACUGCGUCUGAUACUGGAUGGCUUGAGUUUGGGAGAGGGAUGCGGAAUUCCAGGUGUAGCGGUGAAAUGCGUAGAUAUCUGAAGGAACACCGGUGGCGAAGGCGGCAUCCUGGACCAACACUGACGCUGAGGUGAGCA